GCCGUCUGGCCAGACUAAGGUCUGUUUUACUUUCCAGCUUGUCUGGUGUGUUCACCGCUGGGAUCCCCGGGUGUUCUUCGCUGCAGUCAGCUCCUCGGAGUGUUUGAAAGACUUUUAGAACAAGCAAUGGCAAUGAAAAUAAGUAGUACGUAUUAAGCAUCAGUCUGUGUCAGGCACUGCUCUACAGCUUUGCUUGGAUGAACCUAUUUAGUCUUCAGAACCAUCCUGUAGGAAGAGCCAGCAUUCAAGACACCAUCUUGGGAGCAGAGACCACAUCUUCAACAGACACUAGACCUGCUGGGACCUUGAUCUUGUACUCCCAGACUCCAGAAUUUCUCCUUGCCUCUCAACAUCCAUGAUGUCUGAGAAUGUAUAUGUUUAUUUCAACAUGG
ensembl:lncRNA